GAAAUAACCCUAACGCCGUGGAAACGGGGCAGUGUUUCACAGUGCAUUUCUCUCUUCUGGAUAAAGCGGCCCUGACGUCCCCCGAGAGGAAAAAGAAGCUGGCAUCCAUUAAAAAGUUCGAUGAUCUGCGGUAUCUCAGCAUGAUCUGAAAACGUUCCAGAUGGCAUCAUGUGUGAUUCAAUGCAAGCAAGGAAAUAUGACCUCUCAUACAAAGGAGUUAACAUGUCGCCACAUUACACCAUCACUCUCUGGUACAGCAGCAUGCAGGGGCAUCUCCUCUGGAAGUCUCAGUAUCGUACUGUAGUUCCCAACAGCAGAUGGUGAGAGAUUAUGUAGCCCAAUGCACUAGUGAGGUAUGAGGUCAGUAAACUGAGAUCUGUUGCAAGGACAUCACUGCUCUGUAAUUGGGCUUUAGGUCAGUGGUACCUGACUGUAUUACAGCUCGAGAUGAUUUUUACACAUGGUGAAUGAAUUUGUCACGAAUCUGUCUAACCAGACCUUAAUGAG